rnacentral:rRNA from 1 species
CCUACGGGUGGCAGCAGUGAGGAAUAUUGGUCAAUGGUCGGGAGUCUGAACCAGCCAAGCAGCGUGAAGGAGGACUGCACUGAGUAUCGUAAACCUCUUUUGUCAGGGAAUAAAGUCUUCCACGCGUGCGCGGUUGUGUGUACCAGAUGAAAAAGCAUCGGCUAACUCCGUGCCAGCAGCCGCGGUAAUACGGAGGAUGCGAGCGUUAUCCGGAUUUAUUGGGUUUAAAGGGUGCGUAGGUGGUUUGUUAAGUCAGUCGUGAAAGGUUGGGGCUCAACCCUAAGAUUGCAGUUGAAACUGGCAGUCGUGAGUUGAGGAGAAGUGGGCGGAAUGCGUGGUGUAGCGGUGAAAUGCUUAGAUAUCGCGCAGAACUCCGAUUGCGAAGGUAGCAUACUGGCCUGAAACUGACACUGAGGCUCGAAAGCGUGGGUAUCAAACAGGAUUAGAUACCCGAGUAGUC